rnacentral:misc_RNA from 1 species
AGCAGCCGCGGUAAUUCCAGCUCCAAUAGCGUAUAUUAAAGUUGUUGCAGUUAAAAGCUCGUAGUUGAAUUUCGGGAUUGGCGCAUCGGUCGUGCCUCACGGGGUAUGAACUGGUGCAGUCAAUUUCUCACCUUCUGGAGAACCGCGAUGUCCUUAAUUGGAUGCCGCGGGGAACCAGGACCUUUACUUUGAAAAAAUUGAGUGUUUAAAGCAGGCAUUUUUGCUUGAAUACAUUAGCAUGGAAUAAUAAAAUAGGACGGCAUGGUUCUAUUUUGUUGGUUUCUAGGACCACCGUAAUGAUUAAUAGGGAUAGUUGGGGGCAUUAGUAUUCAAUUGUCAGAGGUGAAAUUCUUGGAUUUAUUGAAGACUAACUACUGCGAAAGCAUUUGCCAAGGAUGUUUUCAUUAAUCAAGAACGAAAGUUAGGGAUCGAAGACGAUCAGAUACCGUCGUAGUCUUAACCAUAAACUAUGCCGACUAGGAAUCAGACGAUGUUAAUUUUUAAUGAUUCGUUUGGCUAC